rnacentral:rRNA from 1 species
UGUGGUAAUUCUAGAGCUAAUACAUGCUUCAAUAUUUCCGACCUUAACGGGGAGGAAGGCUUUUAUUAGACCAGAACCUAUUCGGUGCCGCGGGUUCGCGCUCGCGAGUGCCGGUUUCUUGGUGACUCUGAAUAACUUUGGGCUGAUCGCACGGUCUUUGCACCGGCGACGGGUCUUUCAAAUGUCUGACUUAUCAACUGUCGAUGGUAGGUUAUGCGCCUACCAUGGUUGUCACGGGUAACGGGGAAUCAGGGUUCGAUUCCGGAGAGGGAGCCUGAGAAACGGCUACCACAUCCAAGGAAGGCAGCAGGCGCGCAAAUUACCCACUCCCGGCACGGGGAGGUAGUGACGAAAAAUAACAAUACGGGACUCAUCCGAGGCCCCGUAAUUGGAAUGAGUACACUUUAAAUCCUUUAACGAGGAUCCAUUGGAGGGCAAGUCUGGUGCCAGCAGCCGCGGUAAUUCCAGCUCCAAUAGCGUAUAUUAAAGUUGCUGCGGUUAAAAAGCUCGUAGUUGGAUCCCAGUUGCAGACGGGCGGUCCGCCUCAUGGCGGUUCACUGCCCCGUUCUCGACAUACCUCCGGUUAUAUUUGUCCCGCGAUGCUCUUUACCGGGUGUCGCGGGGGGCCGGUACGUUUACUUUGAAAAAAUUAGAGUGCUCAAAGCAGGCGAUGGCCAGAAUAAUGGUGCAUGGAAUAAUGGAAUAGGACCUCGGUUCUAUCUUGUUGGUUCUUCGGAACACGAGGUAAUGAUUAAUAGGGACGGACGGGGGCAUUCGUAUUGCGACGUUAGAGGUGAAAUUCUUGGAUCGUCGCAAGACGAACUACUGCGAAAGCAUUUGCCAAGAAUGUUUUCGUUAAUCAAGAACGAAAGUUAGAGGUUCGAAGGCGAUCAGAUACCGCCCUAGUUCUAACCAUAAACGAUGCCAACCAGCGAUCCGUCGGCGUUACUUCGAAUGACCCGACGAGCAGCUUCCGGGAAACCAAAGUUUCUGGGUUCCGGGGGAAGUAUGGUUGCAAAGCCGAAACUUAAAGGAAUUGACGGAAGGGCACCACCAGGAGUGGAGCCUGCGGCUUAAUUUGACUCAACACGGGAAACCUCACCAGGCCCGGACACUUGGAGGAUUGACAGAUUGAGAGCUCUUUCUUGAUUCAGUGGGUGGUGGUGCAUGGCCGUUCUUAGUUGGUGGAGCGAUUUGUCUGGUUAAUUCCGAUAACGAACGAGACCCUUUCCUGCUAAAUAGGCAGAAGAUCCUCAUGUAGUGUCUGACGUUCUU